CGAGCACCUUCUGUUUCAAGUGCUUUUCUUUAGAUAAAUGGGAGUUGGUGAGGUGUGUUCAUCAAUGCCUCCCACCUCCUUUUCUCACCUUGCUAGACUAUCUCCAACAAAAAUAACAAAUUAACUAACUAAAAAUACGACGAAGCUAUCCAAAAUUCUAACUUAACCACCUUCUAAAAAAUCUCUAAUCAUCUUGUAAUUGUUUGCAGGAAGUCUCGUUGUUAGAAUAAUUUUCCUGCCAUUUGAGGAGAGUUCUUAUGCUACAUUCACCCAAUUAGCAUCAGGUUGCUCUUUUGCAUGAAUAUAAAGUUUCAUUUUACCAUGAUAGCUAAGUACAAUUGCUUAUCAUCUGUUUGGCAUGAAAGAUUGAAUUUCAUGCAUUUGCAUCAUUGCGGUCUACUGAUCUAGAAAAUCUGUAUGUAAGUUUUGUCUAUUGAGCAUCUCUCUACUUGAUUAGUCAAAGGUGGUUAACCUAUGUUGUGCUGUUAUCUGUUAAUUAGCUGAAGGAUGAUUUAAGAAAUUAUUAUGGUUUAAGAAAUUCGUAUGUUGAUUAGCUGAAGGAUGAUUUAAGAAAUUAUUAUGGUGGUCACGGGGACAUCAUGCAAGAGGUAAUUGGUUUCAACUGCCAUUUAUCGGACUGUAUCUAUUAUUUCAUACGAAUCCAUAUUGUAUAUGACGACCAAUAGAUUAUGCCCAUUCUGUAGUUUGUCUAUCUUGUUAUUGUGUUGUUUUUCUUGUGUUUUUCUAAUGAUUUUGUAGUCAUAAUUCUGAUUGUGUUGUUUGCAAAUCUGUGUUUAUUUUUUUAGGUUGUCUUAUAGCCUUCAACACGCGGAUUGUGCUGGAGCAGUUUUCUAUUCGAUCAUGAGGGGUGCAUUAGUGGCUGCACAAUCUACUAAUGAUAGUCUUCUAAAGAAAACUGCCGACGCACUUACCAAGUGGAAGGAUCUUUUACGCAAUUACACCAAGACGGUUGAUGAGGAGGACACACUCUUGGAAGGGCCUUUGCUGUGGUUGUGAAGUUUUAGGUCCAGUUUGAAAACAGGGGUUUCCCAUGUAUUUUUACGAAAGAAAGAAACAUUGAUCUCAUUUCUUCUUUCUCUAUGGAAUUUCUGUGUUAUUUUUUGACUGAUUUUUUUUUCAUUUGAUAUAAAUGAAUUGUUUGGUGAUGGUGAUGCAGAUGGAAAUACUAUUGAAGUUUGAGGAAAUGUGUCAAUAUAUCACAAAAGAAUUUCUCCACUAUUUUCAAAGAUCUUGCCUUACCUCUAUGAUAAGGAGGUAGUCAGUGAAGAUGCAAUUUUGAGAUGGGCGGAAGAAAAA